GGGGAUUUAGCUCAAUGGUAGAGCGCUUGCCUAGCAAGCGGAAGGCCCUGGGUUCGGUCCCCAGCUCUCCA
rfam:Rattus norvegicus chromosome 15, whole genome shotgun sequence.